AACUAUCAGUGGUGGAUCACUUGGCUCGUGGAUCGAUGAAAACCGCAGCUAGCUGCGAUAAUUGACGCGAAUUGCAGAAACAAUGAGCGUUGAAAUGUUGAAUGCAAAUGGCGCGGCCGGGGCAUGCCCCAGCCGCACGUCUGGUUCAGGGAUG